GCUAGCUACCAUUUUCAACCUUUUCUAGCACUUUAACAUAACAACAUUCUUCAAUCAUGAACAGUCUCUUUCAUUUCUUUUUCUUCUUCUUUCUCCUCUUCACUUCUCAAAUUGUAUUACUUCACGCCAUCGGCCGUCCACCGGCGGCACGAUUUUCCGGUCCGUCGAUGGCGAGAAAACAUCAAGUUUUUCAACCUCAGGCGAGUGCGCCGUUUGCUAGAGGCUUUGAGUCCGAUAAGAGGAGAGUUCCCACUGGACCAAAUCCUCUACACAACAAGAAAAGAAAGGCUUGAAUUCUGCAUUUAGAGUUCCUCUUGCUAUCCGUUAAAGUUAGGUUAUUUUAGGUUUUUCGCCUAUACUAGCUGGGUGAUUAUGCCUAUGUAGAUUUUGCGAGAAAGGAAUAUGUGGUGUUUGUUAGCAUAAAUAAUGUAGUAUUGCAAAAAAUUGUUUAAGUUGAUAAUUCUAUCACUACAUAUUUUUUUUC